rnacentral:rRNA from 1 species
GGACUACUGGGGUUUCUAAUCCUGUUUGCUCCCCACGCUUUCGUGCCUGAGCGUCAGUGUUAUCCCAGGGGGCUGCCUUCGCCAUCGGUAUUCCUCCACAUCUCUACGCAUUUCACUGCUACACGUGGAAUUCUACCCCCCUCUGACACACUCUAGCCUUCCAGUCUCAACGGCCAUUCCUAGGUUAAGCCCAGGUAUUUCACCGCUGACUUAGAAAACCGCCUGCGCACCCUUUACGCCCAGUAAUUCCGAUUAACGCUCGCACCCUACGUAUUACCGCGGCUGCUGGCAC